rnacentral:tRNA from 1 species
GCCCGGUUGGCUCAGUCGGUAGAGCGUGUGACUCUUAAGUGCCUGGUAACAGGUGCAUGAGGGAUCUCAAGGUCGCGAGUUCGAGCCUCGCAUUGGGCU